CUGGGGCUGGGGCUCCGUGGUAGAGCACUUGCCUACCAUGUAAGAGGCCCUGGGUUCAAUCCUAAACACCACA
rnacentral:tRNA from 1 species